GCCUGAUUGUUAAAUUAAUUCAUCAUUGUAACACAAAUUGCAUCUGAUUUAUAUCCUUGAUAUUACUUGAUCACAAACUUUUGAACACGAACACUAAAGUAUGUUCAGAAUCAUAAUGAAACGUGUUAGGGGACUACUCUUAAAGUAUUUAUACAAAAAAUAACUAUCGAUACCGAGACCAAUACCUUUACUUAUUCCAAUAGAUAUUUAUGACAAACUUGAUGAGUUCAACUAUGCAAUUGUCAAUUUUCCAUUUCUCCACAGUAAAUAACCCUAUAUCCGGUACCCAUCUUAUGGUGUUAACAUACUAAUAUCUCAAUUAAUUCGUAAAGCAUGUGUAUUUUAACGUCAUGCGAAUAAUUUCAUUAAGUGGGACCGUGCCCCUGAUACAAAAACUGCUCCAACAGAGGUAAGAUAUUGAAUCAUGAAAUCGACCAUUCAUGUAUUUUACGGUCAGCAACAUCGAUUGAUUGACCGAUACGAUGUGUAUGUGUCUAAACGCCAGAAGCAACAUGUUUUCGAUAUCUAGAAACAGAAAAGUCGUUUCAUCUUUAAAACCGAUCGUGUUCUUUUUUAGAUUAAGAUUUAUUUUCUGAGCAUGUAUUUGCAUUAUGAAUGAUGCAUGCAUAAAAAUGAAAUGCAUAUCCAGUCGACGCAACAAACUCACUACUUUUGAGAUUUUUGAGAGUUUAGAAUAAUAGAUUUGUAUCAUCUAAUGAUUUAUGAAAUAUGUAUCUUGAUAAACUGUUUACAGCCACUGUCCUAAAUUAUGUAUCACUAUAUACGAAAUAUCAAAUUUUCAAUUGUUGUGGUCGUUAUGGCGGUCGUCAAGUAGAAACUGAUAACCCUUUCAGAAAAGCCAUGACCAUGGUUGGUUUCGGUUUCAUGACAGUUUUUUAUAUUUUGUUUGUCUUUUUUACUCUUUUUUAUUGGCAUUCAUGUCUUCUCGUUCCUUUGACUAUUGACCUUUUUGUGGAUUAUGAUAUUUACCAAUGACGAUGCUAGUAAUAGGAAUAAUAAUCGACUACUUAUCAUAAGAAAAUGUCAAUCUCAAAUUGUUUAAUAAUAAAUCGUAGAAUGGCUUCCAUGGUGUUCA
rnacentral:lncRNA from 1 species